rnacentral:rRNA from 1 species
CCCUUAGAUGUUCUGGGCAGCACGCGCGCUACAAUGGUCUUCGCAAACGGAUGCAUUCUCGAAGGAGAAUGCCAAUCUUGGAAUCUAUGCCUUGGUCGGGACAGUUGCUUGCAAUUUUUCGACUCGAACCAGGAAUUCCUUGUAAUCGUGAUUCAUCACAUCACGAUGAAUACGUCCCUGCCCUUCGUACACACCGCCCGUCGCUCCUACCGAUCGAAGAGUUAGGUGAAUUGUUUUGAUCGAUAAGAUUUGACUAUGGUCAACUCUCGUUGUGAAAUUCUGUGAAUCUGACUGUUUAGAGGAAGGAAAAGUCGUAACA